rfam:TPA: Bos taurus chromosome X, whole genome shotgun sequence.
UCCCUGGUGGCUCACUAGGUAAAGAAUCCACCUGCAAUGUGGAAAACCUGGGUUCGAUCCCUGGGUUGGGAA